rnacentral:rRNA from 1 species
AAGUCGAAGGAUCUGGAAAGGUCCGCCAUAGCGGGUGAUAGCCCCGUAGACGUCAAACAGCGAAGGACUCGAGUAGGGCGGGACACGUGAAAUCCUGUCUGAACAUGGGGGGACCACCCUCCAAGCCUAAGUACUCCUCAGCGACCGAUAGCGAACAAGUACCGUGAGGGAAAGGUGAAAAGCACCCCGACGAGGGGAGUGAAAUAGACCUGAAACCGGAUGCCUACAAACAGACGGAGCCCAAGAUACGUUCUGGGUGACGUCGUACCUUUUGUAUAAUGGG